GCCCCUUUCCCCCGCCCUGGAGCUGCAGGGGAUCGUCUGGCGGCUGCGAGACUGGCCUGGCCACCGCCAUCUGGGCUUCGAUCUCGCCUUAGGCUUUUUAAGCCACAUGCACUGACCAGCCCCGAAGAGGGGGACACCCGCACCUCGGUGCCGCCGCCACCGCGUCCCACCGAGGGGGGCGGGCCCGCCACGGGGAGUGGGCUCCGGUCCCCCGAGGCUCUCAGCGGCGUAUCUCGGACUGCACUGCCCACCCUGCGCGGCUUUGCUGCGCUCUCCGCUCUCCGGCGCUCACGUCCGCACCGCUUCCUCCGUCCUGCUGAGGCUGAUGGACACGGAACCUAAAAGCCUCCGGCCCGAGGCCUCCUCUCUGCCGCCAAAACCCUCGGCGAGCCCUGGAAGCACCGGACGAGGUUCCGUCCUGCUCAGAGCUAGCUGUGUGCGCCCCGGCUUCCCUCCGGACCCGCCGCCCCGGGGAGUGAGUGUUUCCACACUCGCCUCCGCUGCACUCUCACUCUCUGGAAUCACACAGGCAUGAAGUGAGCCGCCUAGAAGCUGAGCCCCAGCCUCACCAGCACUGCAGAAGAUUUCAGCCCUCAGCCAGAGGCUGCCGGUUGAGGCCUAGCUGUCACAGAGCAGCAACAAGCCGUUCCUGCUGUGCCAUCUGAAUUCCUGACCCACAGAAACCGUGAGGCAGUAAAAGAUUAUUGUUCUAA